rnacentral:sRNA from 1 species
CGCGGAUUACGGUGGCGGC